GAUGAACGCUGGCGGCGUGCAUAACACAUUCAAGUCGAACGGGGCAGCAAUGCCUAGUGGCGGACGGGUGAGUAACGCGUGAGCAACCUGCCUGUGUGAGGGGGACAACAGCCGGAAACAGCUGCUAAUACCGCAUGAAGUAUUCGAAUCGCAUGGUUUGAAUACCAAAGAUUUAUCGCACACAGAUGGGCUCGCGUCCGAUUAGCUAGAUGGUGAGGUAACGGCUCACCAUGGCGACGAUCGGUAGCCGGACUGAGAGGUUGAACGGCCACAUUGGAACUGAGAUACGGUCCAGACUCCUACGGGAGGCAGCAGUGGGGAAUAUUGGGCAAUGGGCGAAAGCCUGACCCAGCGACGCCGCGUGAAGGAAGACGGUCUUCGGAUUGUAAACUUCAAACAACAGGGAAGAAACAAAUGACUGUACCUGUUAGGAAGCCACGGCUAACUACGUGCCAGCCGCCGCAGUAAGAC
rnacentral:rRNA from 1 species